CCAGAACCAGCGGACACUCCAAUGCUAUAGCUCCAGUUCUGUAUCCAGUGCUAUAGCUCCAGGGGCUACAGAACCACUGCAAAGUCCACCCCGUUCCAGUCUCGAGCUAAACACAGCUCUGAAAGAUCAUUUCCAGGCCUCAGCAGGACAGUGGGGCCAGAGCAGCUGCUCAAUCUGCAGCAAGCACAGGGUCCUGGGUUCCUGCAACGCAAAAGUCGGGCAGGGCAAUGCACCCCGGGACCCUGUUAUUACAGCCAAGGCCCAGAGAGGCUUCAGCAGUUCCUGCCCCCAAAGACACUAGAAGCUGAGAAGACACUGAUCACUUUGACGCUGCCACACUUCCUUCGGAGCAGAGACAAAUAUCUGGAUGUUCAAGUUGCACUGAAACCUGUGACAGGGACACAGCCUUGUCCGGGAAGUUGUGGGAAUGGGACAUCGGGGCAUCCUUUGAUCCCUGUUGUGCUGAUCGGCUUGAGGAACUCAGGAACUCACAAGCCCCUGCUGGAUACCCGGAUUUUCUCUUCCAGUCAACAAGGAAGAGGUGGGAACAGGUCUACACCUGAAGACACCAGGCUUCCUGAGUCUCUUGACCUGUGACAUCAGAGCUACUCUGACGGGUCCCCUUGGCCACCUCCUUUCUUAGAUCUCCGAGUGUGGACAGUUCCAAAAGUGUAACUCUGCAAGAACCAAACCCAGGGAGGCAAGGAUGAGCGAGACACACCACCUUUCACAAAGUCGAUUUCUAGGGGGGUUUAUUGAGAUCUCGAACGACGGCUUCCUUCAGCUAACCCUUCUGUGGCUGUUUUAGGAAAUGCUGAUUUUCUUUCUUUCUUUCUUUUUUUAAGUGCCAUUCAUAGAAACAUGUGCUGGGUUUAUUGUUAUUACUUUGAAAUGAAUGUUUUAGGCAUUUGUCUGUUUUGGUUUUCUCGUGUGGUUAAAAAAAUGGUACACAGAAUCAUAUGAAUAAGAUCUCCUGUGGGUUUUAAUUACAGUUGAAAAUGAAACCAGGAAAAUGGCCCGGCAGCUAACUGUGCUUGCCACACAAACAUGAUGACCGCCUGAGUGAGGGUCCCCAGCACCCAUUUCAAAAGCCAUGUGCGCCUUUAGUCCCGCUGCUGGUGGAGUAGAGAGGAGAUAGGACAAGCUACCAGCCUAACCAAAAAAACAGGGAACUCCAGUUUCUGUGAGAGACCCCGUCUCAAAGGAGUAGGGUGGAGAGUUAUAGAGGAAGCACACACCUACACACACAUGCACACGCACAUACACUCCACCACCAUCACAUGCACACGCACACUAAAGGAGCACUCCCCAUGCCAAGGUAAAAAACUGAGCUCAUAAUCCCAGGAAGUCACUUUUGGGGGGAUUACAGAGGCCAAGUGGGUGCCCCUGACAUCAGACACCCAGUGCCUCACCUGUGUUUGCAAAAACAGCUUGUCUAAGGAAAGCAGCUAACUUCUUCAUUCUGGUUUCUUAACCUUAGCUACGAAGACCUCAGUCUGAAGCACUAAGCUGGGGUCCUCUGGACUCUGGUCAUUGUGUGUUCUGUGCCUUAAUCACAGUGUGGCCAUAACUUGAGACACCACCUCUUGCAUUAAAGAAAGUUUUCUCUA